rnacentral:rRNA from 1 species
UACGAAGGGUGCAAGCGUUACUCGGAAUUACUGGGCGUAAAGCGUGCGUAGGUGGUUUUUUAAGUCCGUUGUGAAAGCCCUGGGCUCAACCUGGGAAUGGCAGUGGAUACUGGAAAGCUAGAGUGCGGUAGAGGGUAGUGGAAUUCCCGGUGUAGCAGUGAAAUGCGUAGAGAUCGGGAGGAACACCUGUGGCGAAAGCGGCUCACUGGACCACAACUGACGCUGAGGCGCGAAAGCUAGGGGAGCAAACAGG